rnacentral:rRNA from 1 species
AGCAGCCGCGGUAAUUCCAGCUCCAAUAGCGUAUAUUAAAGUUGUUGCAGUUAAAAAGCUCGUAGUUGAAUUUCGGGGUUAGUAGGUUGGUCAUGCCUCUGGUAUGUACUGGUCUCACUGAUUCCUCCUUCCUGAUGAGCCGUAAUGCCAUUAAUUUGGUGUUGCGGGGAAUUUGGACUGUUACUUUGAAAAAAUUAGAGUGUUUAAAGCAAGCUAACGCUUGAAUACAUUAGCAUGGAAUAAUGAAAUAGGACGUUCGAUCCUAUUUUGUUGGUUUCUAGGAUUGACGUAAUGAUUAAUAGGGAUAGUUGGGGGCAUUAGUAUUCAAUUGUCAGAGGUGAAAUUCUUGGAUUUAUUGAAGACUAACUACUGCGAAAGCAUUUGCCAAGGAUGUUUUCAUUAAUCAAGAACGAAAGUUAGGGGAUCGAAGACGAUCAGAUACCGUUGUAGUCUUAACCAUAAACUAUGCCGACUAGGGAUCGGAUGAUGUUAAUUUUUAAUGACUCAUUCGGCGCCUUAA